UCCAAGCCCCCUGGAAACGGGAAGGCCCGCAGCUCCGCGGGCUGGCGGGGCAAGGGGGCCGGGGACAGAAUGGACUGGGGUUGGGGGCUCAGGGAGGCCUUGCCGGAGUGAGCCAUCUAAGGUGAACAAUGGGAAUGGAGGAGAGGUGGGGUGCCUGAGGAUUAGUGACUUCCAGGAACUGGGGAGUCUCUCAGGAUCGAGGUUGGGGCAGGGAGAGGUCAGGUUGGGCCAGUUAAGGAUUCACAUUUAUCAUGGGGGUGGUGGUGGUGGGAGAGUAGAAGGGAGGAGGAGGAUUCCACCCCGGAAUGGUGAACCCACUGCAGAGGGCCGGGUGGUUGCCCCUACGCGCACGGGCUCGGAAAUGUUCUCUCAACCUGGAACCCAGACAGUGCAGCUGGGAGAGGCCAGGCCUUCAACCUAGAACUCCUGGUGCCCCACCUCAGGAGCCAUACCCCGCUUUAGCACUUCUAGCAGGGGCGUAGGCUGCCACCCAUGGAUAUCUAGGGGGAAUUCUAUCAGUGCCCUUGACAGAGGCCUCUGGAGUCACAAGAGAGAGACUGCUGGCACCUUGGUCUCCCAUCCAGGCAGUGGACGCUGCCGGUCUCUUCUAGGAUGCCCAUGAUCACAUCCACCCUGGGCAGAGUGCCUGGAGUCACUUCUGGGCUGCUUGGCCGGGCACCGCUCUUCCCAAGCACCUGGGGAGUAUCUGCAGGAAAUAACCCUGUCAGCUGGGCUUGAGGCCUGAGACGGAUUCCGAAGCUCUUGGUGGGUGUUUCUGCACACCUGGAGCUGCAUUCUCUCUCUCUGGGCCCGAGGGAGCCCCGUGUGAGGCUGCAGCUGUUGUGGCCAGUUUCCAUCUCCAGGCUUCCAGGAUAAGCCUGAGUCGGGAACAUUCUCUCACCACCAGAGCGCCAAGGUGUCAGAGCUGCUUCCAUGAAAGGCUGGAAGGAGCGCCAGGGCAGGGCUCCCAUAUGCUGGGCAUGCUCCAGUCAGGUGGGCUCAGCUCUCUCUUGAGAGGCACCUCCCUGAGUCCUUGAAAGCACCUUCCACCCCCAACUACGGAAAGGCCACUGGAAGCUCAGAGCUAGCAUCCUGCGUAGGCUGGAGGGACGGAAAGCAGCCCCAAGACAAAUGACCACCCAGGACCAACGUCCAGCCAAACAGCAGCUUUAUUAGUGAUGCUGGAUUCUUGACACACCAACAGUGUGCACGCAAGUAUUCCCUAGGGAGCCUCUGGAGGCAGGGACAACACUGUAGCACUUACACAGGAGUGAUAGAAAUAAAGCUUUGGUGUGUAGGUUUUCAGGAGAG